GAUGAACGCUGGCGGCGUGCCUAAUACAUGCAAGUCGAGCGAACAGAUGAGGAGCUUGCUCCUCUGACGUUAGCGGCGGACGGGUGAGUAGCACGUGGAUAACCUACCUAUAAGACUGGGAUAACUUCGGGAAACCGGAGCUAAUACCGGAUAAUAUAUUGAACCGCAUGGUUCAAUAGUGAAAGACGGUUUUGCUGUCACUUAUAGAUGGAUCCGCGCCGCAUUAGCUAGUUGGUAAGGUAACGGCUUACCAAGGCAACGAUGCGUAGCCGACCUGAGAGGGUGAUCGGCCACACUGGAACUGAGACACGGUCCAGACUCCUACGGGAGGCAGCAGUAGGGAAUCUUCCGCAAUGGGCGAAAGCCUGACGGAGCAACGCCGCGUGAGUGAUGAAGGUCUUCGGAUCGUAAAACUCUGUUAUUAGGGAAGAACAAAUGUGUAAGUAACUAUGCACGUCUUGACGGUACCUAAUCAGAAAGCCCCGGCUAACUACGUG
rnacentral:rRNA from 1 species